CAUAUUUAUGUUCUACACCUCACACUUAUGUUUAUAUUUAUGUUUAUGUUUAUGUCCAUAUGUUUGCAAUCUAUUCACUUACUAUUAAACCAUAUUAUUAAGGAAUUAGUAAACUAAACGAUUGCUAUAAUAAUUAUGACAAUUUUGUUUAAUUAUUAAAAUUAUUAUUCUUUUUUUUGAUUAAUUUUA
rfam:Plasmodium falciparum D6 cont1.7749, whole genome shotgun sequence.